UCGCAGUCCUCGGUCUAGGCAGGCAGCAUCAACGCAGGCUAUAACACUUCACCGAAGUAAAGUCACAUUCCUACGCCAUUAUCCUACCGCCCAAACCGAUGCUGGCCCGAUAAGCUGCGGGUCACCCCGCCACGAAGGCAAGGCUCACAAAAUAUCGAGUCUGAUCUCAAACCCUUCCCUUUCAACAAUUUCACGUACUUUUUCACUCUCUUUUCAAAGUUCUUUUCAUCUUUCCAUCACUGUACUUGUUCGCUAUCGGUCUCUCGCCAAUAUUUAGCUUUAGAUGGAAUUUACCACCCACUUAGAGCUGCAUUCCCAAACAACUCGACUCUUCGAAAGCACCUUACAUAGGAUUGGGCAUCUCAUCGCACGGGAUUCUCACCCUCUGUGACGUCCUGUUCCAAGAAACAUAGACAAGAGCCAACCCCAAGGUUACAAUCUUCAAAUUACAACUCGGACACCGAAGGCGCCAGAUUUCAAAUUUGAGCUUUUGCCGCU
rnacentral:rRNA from 1 species